GCCGGGGCUUCUUCUGCGGGUACCGUCAUUAUCUUCCCCGCUGAAAGGGGUUUACAACCCUAGGGCCUUCUUCACCCACGCGGCAUGGCUGGAUCAGGCUUUCGCCCAUUGUCCAAUAUCCCCC
rnacentral:rRNA from 1 species